CUACGGGGUGCACCAGUGAGGAAUAUUGCACAAUGGGGGUAACCCUGAUGCCGCAACGCCGCGUGGAGGAUGACGCAUUUCGGUGUGUAAACUCCUUUUAUAUGUCAAGAAAAUGACGGUAGCAUAUGAAUAAGCACCGGCUAACUCCGUGCCAGCAGCCGCGGUAAUACGGAGGGUGCAAGCGUUACUCGGAAUCACUGGGCGUAGAGGACGCGUAGGCGGGUUGGAAAGUCAGGUGUGAAAUCCUACAGCUUAACUGUAGAACUGCACUUGAAACUUCUAAUCUAGAGUAUGGGAGGGGGAGAUGGAAUUAGUGGUGUAGGGGUAAAAUCCGUAGAUAUCACUAGGAAUACCUAAAGCGAAGGCGAUCUCCUGGAACAUUACUGACGCUAAGGCGUGAAAGCGUGGGGAGCAAACAGGAUUAGAUACCCGGGUAGUC
rnacentral:rRNA from 1 species